CUUAUCUCAUCCUCCAAGCCAAGCUACGGGAAAGGUCAGAAGCUGCCCUACUCACUUUUAUGUUUAUGUUUUGUAUGGAAGAAAAACAAGGGGAGCGAAGAGAAAAAGGAAAAUAACUAAGCAAAGAUGGGAAAAAGUAAGGAAGGAAACAAGGGAAAUAAAUAAAAAAGGGAAGGGAAGGGAAGAGAAAGACGGUACAAGGGAAUGGAAAGGAACAAGGGAAGAGACG